GCCUGGGUGGCUCAGUCGGUUGAGCUUCUGACUUCAGCCCAGGUCAUGAUCUCGUGGUCCGUGGGUUCGAGCCCCGCAUCGGGCU
rnacentral:tRNA from 1 species